rnacentral:lncRNA from 10 species
ACUUCCGGUUUCCUUUCCCUCAGCUAUUCCAUGGCUUUUCGUGUGGACAAAUCGGGAGGUGGUGUAAACUGGUUUUUGGUGAAAUUCGGCUCGGCCUCAUGCGAACCUAUCUAGGUCCGUCUCUGGAGUGGCCUGUCAUCGAUCGCGCCCUCCAUCGCUGAGCGACACAAGUGGAACCCCCCAGGACUGCAUUCUGCGAAACUACCCUGCUUUUCCCCCAGUUUUGGUCUGUGAACACAUUUGGGAAAUUCUUCUGAUCCUACCGCUACUCUCUUGAGAUGAAGAAACAGCUCAGAUUUGACCAAGAUCACACAAGUAGGAGUUGAGGAAUUGGAACCCACUAUGACUGACUCCAAAUUAAUAUAGUGUUUAUAGCCACUUACAUAAUAAUGGUAAAGGUUUUAUUUUUUUCACUAUACAAUAUGUAGUAGAUAAAUUUACUGAGGAAAUGAGACAGCACGUGACAAAUCCUUAAAGGAUACACACAUGACAGGAAGGAUUAGAAGAGGAAACAGAAACAGGUAACAGAGAAGCAGAAAAAGUAAAAUCUCCCAAAAUAAAAAUAGAAGGAAUUAAAAAUAAAAGCAGACUCCGGGUGCAGUGGCUCAUGCCCAGCACUUUGGGAGGCCGAGGCAGGUGAAUCACUUGAGGUCAGGAGUUUGAGACCAGCCUCGCCAACAUGAUGAAACCCUGUUUCUACUAGAAAUAAAAAAAUUAGCCAGGUGUAGUGGCGUGCACCUGUAAUUCUGGUUACUUGGGAAGCUAAGGCAGAAGAAUCACUUGAACCCGAGAGGCAGAGGUUGCAGUGAGCCAAGAUCAUGCCAUUGCACUCCAGCCUGGGUGACAGAGCAAGAUUAUAAAGUCUUCUCAAUAAAAUCGUCUCAAAAAUAAUAAAAAUAAAAGCAGAAGUUAAUGAAAUAGCAAAUAAAAUUGAUGAUAGUAAUUAGCUGGUGUUUGAAAAGAACAAUAAAUAGAAACUCAACAAAUCUGAGGAAGAAAAGGAAAAAAAAUGGUAUUGGAAACAAAGGAGCCCAUGGACGGAGGAUGGCUUGAGCCCAGGAGGUUGAGGUUGCAGUGAGCCAUGAUUGCACCACUGCACUCCAGCCUGGUCAACAGAGCUAGACACUGUCUCAGAAAAAAAAAAAGAAACAGGCCGGGCAUGGUGGCUCACGCCUGUAAUCCCAGCACUUUGGGAGACCAAGGCAGGCGGAUCAUGAGGUCAAGAGAUCGAGACCAUCCCAGCCAGCAUGGUGAAACCCCAUCUCUACUAAAAAUACAAAAAUUAGCUGGGCGUGGUGGCAGGCGCCUGUAGUCCCAGCUACGUGGGAGGCUGGGGCAGGAGAAUUGCUUGAACCCCCAGGAGGUGGAGGUUGCAGUAAGCCGAGAUCGCGCCACUGCACUCCAGCUUGGCGACAGAGUGAGAGUCCGUCUCAGGGAAAAAAAAAAAAAAAGGGCAAAGGGACAUCUUACAAAGGAGACUGUGAAAAUCAGAAAGAAAUUAUUUUGUAUAACAUUAUACACGUUGAGCACCCCUUAUCCAAAAUCUGAGAUUUUCAGUCCUUAUCCAAAAUCUGAAAUCCUUAUCCAAAAUCUGAGUGGCUGAGAUCACGCCACUGCACUCCAGCCUGGGCAACACAGCGAGACUCUGUCUCAAAAACAAUAAAGUGAGUGUGGUCCAGAAGAGAUUAAGAAGCUAAGAAAAGCACACUGGUUUUAGCAAGAAGUCAUUGAUAAUAAGAGUAAUUUUAAUAAAAAAGCUAAGAUGCAAUAUCCAGACUGCAUGGGAUUUCAAGGUAAGUGCCUGACUAUGGAAGAAAUUUUUUUUUCUUUUUUUUUUGAGACAGAGUCUCGCUGUGGCUGGAGUGCAGUGGCGCAAUCUUGGCUUACUGCAAGCUGCCUCCUGGGUUCACUCCAUUCUCCUGCCUCAGCCUCUCCGAGUAGCUGGGACUACGGGCGCCCACCACCACGUCCAGCUAAUUUUUUUAUUUUUAGUAGAGACGGGGUUUCACCGUGGUCUCGAUCUCCUGACCUUGUGAUCCGCCCGCCUCGUCUUCCCAAAGUGCUGGGAUUACAAGCGUGAGCCACCGCGCCCAGCCUGGAAGAAGUUUCUUAAGUGAAACAGGGUUCAGAAUACAUCCUGGAGUGGUCAUCUCAGUAUUCUAGAGAACUGGAACCUUUUGUGAGUAGGAAGGAAGGUAUGAUUCCAGUUAGUAAAUAUGACUAGUCCUCCACUUCUACCUCAGUUUUUCUAAAGUGGGGUGAUAAAGCAGGAUAUCAUAAAUCAGCUUUUUAUAUCUUGUUUCAG